rnacentral:rRNA from 1 species
GAUGAAUGCUGGCGGCGUGCCUAAUACAUGCAAGUCGUACGGAAAGGCCCUUCGGGGUACUCGAGUGGCGGACGGCUGAGUAACGCGUGGGAACGUGCCCCAAAGUGAGGGAUAACGCACCGAAAGGUGUGCUAAUACCGCAUAUGGUCUUCGGAUUAAAGCUUCGGCGCUUUGGGAGCGGCCCGCGUACGAUUAGAUAGUUGGUAGGGUAAUGGCCUACCAAGUCGACGAUCGUUAGCUGGUCUGAGAGGAUGAUCAGCCAGACUGGAACUGAGACACGGUCCAGACUCCUACGGGAGGCAGCAGUAAGGAAUCUUCCACAAUGGGGGCAACCCUGGUGGAGCAACGCCGCGUGCAGGAUGAAGGCCCUCGGGUCGUAAACUGCUUUUAUGAGUGAAGAAUAUGACGGUAACUCAUGAAUAAGCACCGGCUAACUACGUGCCAGCAGCCGCCGUAA